GCACUGCUGAGGAGUCCCAUACCAGGACGAAACGGCCGUCNCCGUCCAGUGC
rfam:Schistosoma margrebowiei strain Zambia genome assembly, scaffold: SMRZ_scaffold0002777